AUUGAACGCUAGCGGGAUGCCUUACACAUGCAAGUCGAACGGAGUGGCGAACAGGUGAGUAAUGUAUCGGAACGUGCCCAGUAGAGGGGGAUAACUACGCGAAAGCGUAGAUAAUACCGCAUACUAUUGGAGCGGCCGAUAUCGGUGUAGGUAGUUGGGGGGGUAACGGCUAACCAAGGAGAAGAGACGUAGCUGGUUGGAGAGGACGACCAGCCACACUGGACCUGAGACACGGCCCAGACGCCUACGGGAGGCAGCAGUGGGGAAUUUUGGACAAUGGGUGAAACCCUGAGCCAGCCAUCCCGCGUGUGCGAUGAAGGCCUUCGGGUUGUAAAGCACUUUUGGCAGGAAAGCGGUACCUGCAGAAUAAGCACCGGCUAACUACGUGCCAGCAGCCGCGGUAAUUC
rnacentral:rRNA from 1 species